rnacentral:lncRNA from 1 species
AUGCAGGCUGUAAAUUGUUUUACCUUUUUGGACUUUAGCUUCCUUGCCCAGAAUGUUUGAGUUAAAUCUCCAGAGCGAUAGUAGCUUUAAAAUCUUGUGGGUUUCUCUAAAUGGAACUUAACAGGAUUCUAAAUGCCUUCCUGUGUGUGGUGCUUGGUCUAGCAGGCUCUGACCCUCCCAUUUGGCGGGUACUGGUAGCAUUGUCUAUGUGCAAGUGUGUUUGUACAAACUGCAAAAAUGCACUGUCGCUGUUUUACGCUUUUGUAUUUGUGGUGAGUCAUUUAAGUAGUGAUUCUAGACAUUCUUUCAGAAGAUAAGGGAAUGGAGGGUUGUUUGUUUGUUUGUUUGUUUGUUUUUAAUUUGUGUGUGUGUGUGUAUAAAUGUUUUGCCUGCAUGUAAGUUCCCCACGUGUGCCUGGUGCCCAGACUGAAGAUCAGACGAAGGUAUUCAAUCCCUUGGAACUGUAGUUAUAGUUAGAUGUCACAUGGCUGUGCAGGGAAUCAAACCCAGUUCCUCUGCAAGAACAGCUAGUGCUCCUAACCGCUGAGCCAUCGCUUCAGCCACAAGUUGGACUUUGUAAAUAGGAGAAAUGAGGCUUUAUGAACAGGCUGGCCUGUAGUGCCCAGCUUCUGGAGAGAAUGAAUCGUGAGGAUCACUUGAACCUUAGAAUUCAAGGUCAGCCUAAGAAACAGCAAAAACCAGUCUCAAUGAGAAGAGGGAGAAAGAAAGAAGAAAAAGAGGAAGAAGGGAGAAGAAUAUGAGGAAGAAAUGUAGUUUUACAUAUAUAUGUUUAUAUAUGUGCAUAGUGCGUGAUAUAUAGUUACUCUGAGCUUUCAUAUGAUAUAUCCUCUGAGCUUUCAUAUGAUAUAUCCUGUAUUACAUCAUGUGGUCAAAUGCCUUUUCCUGCAGAUGUUACCAGUCACCCCAUUCCUAGGACUGAAGACAGUGCUGUGCAACAAUGGCUUCAUAGCUCUCAUUAAGGUGUUCAUUAGACACUCAACAGACUAUGGCAGUAUAGUAGCUUUUCAGUGAAAGAGUGCAUUCAUGUUUUCCUGUCAUAUUAAAAUCACUCUUUUAUUUUAAAAAAAGGGUUUUUACUUUUUAUUUAUUUGUAUAUAUGUAUGUACGUGUGUAUGUAUGUAUGUGGCUACCUCAAGCUAUGGCCUCAUGUGGUGUCAGAGGACAACUCACAGGAGUUCUUCUUCCUUGUAGGUUCUGGGGGAUUGCUGCCUUUACUUGCUUGAGCCACCACGCUGUCCCUAAAAUGAUUCUUGAAAGUCACUCGUACCCUUACAUUAUUGCUCUUUGACAGCAGCAGUGUGGAGGAGAUUCUUCUCUGUCCUUUCCUUGGUCUGCUUCUCUUAGGGCCUUCUCCUCUCUCUCCAGAUAGUAAUCCUAUGAAGACUGUGUUUUAUUACCAAGCAGCUGGGACUUCACUUACAAUCUGUAGCUUUGUCACACCCCACCAGUUCUUCACACGUAAGAAACUUGUUCUUAGGUGUGCUCUUAAGUGUUCCUUAAGACAGCAUUCUUCCUCUGGUACCUCCAUUGGUUCUUUAAUGAGAAGCAAUGGACAGGAAUCAAGACAGGAUUGUAAACACACGCCAGAGUAGUAUGGUCUAGCUAGGAUUAGACCUUGAUUCUAUUCAGUGAUGACUUUGGGACUGGGGCAAUCCAAGCCCUUUGCCUUAGCUAAGCCUGUUUGUUGUCAAGUGUCUAAAGUGCACAUGAUCAUAGGACCAGUCUCAGAGUGGCCGAGAGUCUCAGAAGAUCCGCUGUCUAUUUGAAAAUACAAAUUCCUCGUCCUUCCUAUUAUGGAAUAAUAAUAUGCAUGUUGUCUAUAGCAUACUGUGAUACUGUAAAGUUUUGAGUAUGCUAAAAUUUAGUGGUCUUGAUCUCACUAUUUUGUACAAUUGAAGUACAUUGUUAAGCCUUCAAGUAUUAUUUGUAGCCGUUUAGUAGUCAUUACUAGUAUAUACAUCACCAUACUGGCUUGACCAGAUAAGCGUAUGUAGAAAAGACAGAGGUUAUUUGAAAUCUUUGUAGUUAAAGGAUUUUUUUUUGUAAAUGAACUUUUUUUUAUUUCAUGAGGUAGCUAACAUUUUGAGCAGUCUUUGGUGUCCUAAAUAGGCUUCAGUGUGUCAAAAAAUGCUUCAUGUUAAUCAGCUGGUUAACAAAGCCCUAUGUUAUGUUUAACAUAGAUUUUGGAAUCAUUAUUAUUUCUAAAGAUAGCUAAGACAAAAUGUCAGCACCUGCUAAUAAAAACAACUUGGUUCUUGCUUAUCAGACUAGUAUAAUGUUAUUAAUAAGAGAUUAAAUAUGUGUAUUAUAUUUCGCUCUCAGUUCACUUUGGCUUGCAAACAAUAUUUUAAUU